UACGAAGGGGGCUAGCGUUGCUCGGAAUUACUGGGCGUAAAGCGCACGUAGGCGGUCUUUUAAGUCGGGGGUGAAAUCCUGGAGCUCAACUCCAGAACUGCCUUCGAUACUGGAAGACUCGAGUCCGGGAGAGGUGAGUGGAACUGCGAGUGUAGAGGUGAAAUUCGUAGAUAUUCGCAAGAACACCAGUGGCGAAGGCGGCUCACUGGCCCGGUACUGACGCUGAGGUGCGAAAGCGUGGGGAGCAGACAGG
rnacentral:rRNA from 1 species